GGAAGGAUAUUGUGAAAGCAGAACGCUCUAUUUCGGGGUUGCCUAGUUGAGUGGGAUUUUCCAGCACAGUUUAUUUUCUUGACAGCAUUUGGUGAAUUUUGCCUCUCCUGUUGCAGGUCACCUCACUCGUGGCUACUGAGAAGCUUGUCCUUUGGUGAGUGGAAAGGAAUUUUUCGUGUGUCGUAGUCGACUGCCAGCCUGGUAGGCUGACAGAAAGUUCCUGUCAGUGUCUUUGCAGCAGCAGAAGCUAUGGCAUCCCUAACUGCUUUCUCCUUUUCUGUUGAAGAGCUUUUGUACAGCUGCAGGAAUGAUUUUGCAGACAGAAGAUUGUAUGCUGGUUUUAGCCAUGGGGGAGUAUCUAAUUCACAACCAUAAGUGGAAAUAUCUGCUUUAUCCCACUGUUAGUUUGAACACUCCACAGUGCUAUUUCUCCUUAGUGCAGCUGGAUGUGCAGCUGAGCAUAAAUAAGGCCAUAAAUACAAUACAGCUUCCUGUCCCUCGUGCUACUGUCUGUUCUCAAAGCACAAAAGCUGCAUCAGGGUUUUCUCUAGCUGUCUGUCUGUCUCCAAAGAGGAGACUAAAGAGGAGAAAGACAAGAAGGCUGGAGAGGAGGAACAAAGUGAACUUCUCUCUGUUCUAGGAGAGGACGGUGAAUUCCCCAUGGUUCUUGAAGUGAAUUUCCCACCUUUCUGGAAGAUGACAGCAAAGCUCCAGCAGUGUGGAUCCAGGAUGGGAACACUGUGAGCAUGGGGGAGCCUUCCAAGAAACACCCUGAAGUUGAGCCAGUUGGCCAAGGAACUCCUACUGUUCCCCACUUUGUCACGUGACAACAGCAGAACUGGGAACAAGCUCUGAGAUCCUGGUCCUCAAGGACAAGAAGCAUCCCAACAUUGUCAGCUGUUUGGACCUGUGAGUGCUUCAGCUGCCUUGUUGCUGAAGAUCUCUGGUUGGUGAUGGAGUACGUGGAUGGAAGAACAAUACAGGAUGUUAGAAAGACACAUCUGGCUGAAGGAGGGAUGGCAGCCAUCAGCUGUGAGUAUCUGCAAGCCCUGGAUUUCCUUCAUUCAAACCAGGUGAUUCACAGAGAUCUGAAAAGCUCCAGCAUCCUUCUGGGAAUGGACAGCACUGUCAAGUGGUCUGACCACUGUCAAGGGCAGGUAUACUUGGUUAGGUACAGUGUUCCUGGGAUGUGAGUGUGGGGCUGCUUCCCAGUGACAGCCAGUUCCCCAGAACUGGUGCUCGUGGGAGUGCCCAGACCCUGCUGCCAGCUGAGAGCAGCUGAAGUGUGCAGAGAGGUCUGCAGGGGAGCAGGGUGUCAAAAGGGGCUUUGCUUUGUGUGUGUCCCUUCCAGAGGGAAGUGUGAUAGAAUCUAAAGCUUCAAGUGAAUAAAUGAAAGCCACUGCCUGAAACCUGAGAGUAUCUUUAAGUGGCCAGUUGCAUAUUGCCUCUGUCCUGUAAGGUGCAGUCUUGAUGAUUUUCAAAUGGAGAGCAAGCAGAAUCCUAGACUGGUUUGGUUUGGCAGGGGCAUUUUGAGAUAUCUGGACCAGGUGCCCCACAAUGAGCAGGGCCAUGUUCAAGCAGAUCAGGUUGCUCACAACCCUGCCUGACCUUUAAUGAUUGCAGGGGUGAGGCACCUUUCACAUAUCUGGGUAACUUGUGUCAAUGUAAGCCACUCUCCUUGUAAAAAAGUUUUUCCUUAUGUCUUUUCUGAGUCUGCUGGCCCUCCCUUGUCCUAUUGCAACAGAGCCUGUAAGGAGCUUGAAAAGUAAUGCUUCAUUUCUUUAGUUUUUAUUCUUAGGGCAGCUUCCAUUUUUAUCAUCAGCCAAGCCUGUCUCCAGCCUGACACCUCUGAUCACUGCAGCAGUGCAGUUGAGGGAGUGGCAGAGGUGCAGCACUAGAAGACAGCUUUUUGUUAUGCUAGUUAGGAUAAUUAGUUUAAUAUGGUAGUUAGGACAGCUAGUUUUUAUGCCAGCUAGGACAACUAGUUUGUUAAGCUAGCUAAGACAUUUUGUUAUGGUAGGAUAGCUAGAUUUUUAUGCUAACUAGGACAACUAGAUUGUUAUGCUAGUUAGCACAGCCAGUUUGUUACGCUAGUUAAGACAGCUAGUUUUUUAUGCUAGCUAGGACAAUUAAUUUUUUACGCUUGUUUUUAUGAAUAAAAACUCUGUUAAACCUCA